AGAAAGAAAGAAAGGAAGAAAGAGAACAAGGGAGAGAGAGAAUGAGAUAGAAGGGAUGAGACAAAGACACACACACACACCAAAAGACAGAGAGACGGAGACAGAGAGAGAGAGAGACAGAGAGACAGAGAGACAGAGAGAAGAGAUCAGAGGAGGGGUCUAGUGUAGCUGGAUGACUAAAGAAAUGCCUUCCAACAGACACUUAUUUUAUAUUGUUUGUUUCCUACAGCAAAAGAAUCAGAAGUAUUUGAAGAAGCUUUAUAGAGUGUAAAAUCUGAAUCCUUAGUGAACAAGAGCAGAAUGAUGGGAUCCUUAAGUGUUUUCCUAGUUAUCCUGUGGCUUCAGUUCAUCGGGGUGAGCAGCCAGCAGAAGGAGGUAGAGCAGAGUCCUGAGACCCUCAGUGUUCCAGAGGGAGACACCACCUUUCUCAACUGCACUUACAAGGACCGCAGUUCUAACAACUUCAGGUGGUACCGACAGUACCCUGGGAAAAGCCCUGAGCUGCUGAUAUCCAUAUACUCCGAUGGUGACCAAGAAGAAGGAAGAUUCAAAGCACAGCUCAACAGAGCCAGAAGACAUGUUUCCCUGCACAUUGGAGCCUCCCUGUCCCUUGACUCAGCCACCUACUUCUGCACAGUGAGCACACAGUGCUCCCCAGGCACCUGCAGCCUGCACUCAAACCCAGCCAAGCCUGAGGGCAGAGAAGUCCUCUUCCUGCUCCAGAAGCACUGGGAAUGAUGAGCAAUAGUGUGGGGUUACCUGUGGUUGAGAGGAAACUAUUUUAAUAAUUCUAUGAAUACUCACCUUUAAAGGGAAAGUGUAGGAAAAUAUUAGUCUGGUUCAGAUAGUUUUUAUUUUUCUAUUGUUAUUCUAAAACUUUUUAUGAUGUGUGCACAAACAGCUACACAUAUUUAAUGUGUAUCUUUAGAAGACUGAAGCUAAGCAGACAGAUAUGAAAUUGUCAUCGUGUAGAUAGAACCAUCCCCCUACAAGUUUCACUCUUCUUUCUUGUUUUAAACUGACAUGUGAUAGUUAUUCAGAAUGGUGUACUUAGGGCAUGCAUCUUUAUAUGGACUCUAGCUUUACAUUCACAAAAAGGGUUACUGGGUGAUAGUUUUUAUAUAUGAUGGAAAAUGUUUUAAUAUGACAGAUAUUUGCUUAUAGGUAAUACACUUUUUUUCUGCUCAGUUUCUGUACCAGUUUGAUACACUCCCUUUGGAAUACAUUGACAGAGCAGAAAUCUAAAGAGAAGAAAGAAGUCUUAGAAAAACAAUUUUCACAGAUUUUAAGCCGUAAAUUCUUUGAGUUACAGAUCUCCCACUUCAUCUCCACUCUCAGCUGCACCCUCAGCUGUGGGUUAUCAAGGAGACCUCCGGUGGGCAGAAGG